rnacentral:ncRNA from 2 species
AGGGAACGGGGGAGCGCUGAACCACUGUCUUUAACUGGUCACUUGGGCAGUGGGGAGCUAAUAGUGAAACCGACCUUCCCA